GCUAAUAGGGCCUAAUGCUUCAUUUAUAAGUGUAAAUUUAAGAAAAACAUUGCAUGUGUAUGAAUACGAACUAUUUUCGCCCUAGCGUCAUUUUCCCGCAAUCGCCAUUGUUUACAAGUUCAUCCGUGAAAGAUUGAGAAGUUUUGCUGUUAAUAUAGAAGUUCCACGUGUUAAAACGAGUUGUGUGUGAUUAAAGGCUUGUUUGUUAGAUUUCAAUUGUGGCACAGUUGGUUGUUUGCUGAGAAGCUGUGAAACAUAAUUAUACAGGCCAUUAAGUGGUACCAAAAAGAUGGUAAAUUGGUAGUGUUCAGUUCCGGGCAAACAUUUUCUUCAAGAGGUUUUUGUCAGAUUGAUGAAUGUGAAAUUAAGAGGACCCAUUUUGAGAAUGCAUCAAGAGAGAUAAAGUCUAAAAUGUGAUACUGUCAAUGUGACUAACCUUGAAGUAAACAGAUGACACAAUGUUUUUUCAAUGUCAUGGGCAUAUAAUGAAGAG